UACGUAGGGAGCAAGCGUUGUCCGGAUUUAUUGGGCGUAAAGAGCUCGUAGGCGGCUUAGCAAGUCAGGUGUGAAACCUCCAGGCUCAACCUGGAGACGCCACUUGAUACUGCUAUGGCUUGAGUGUUGCAGGGGAGACUGGAAUUCCUGGUGUAGCGGUGAAAUGCGCAGAUAUCAGGAGGAACACCGGUGGCGAAGGCAGAUCUCUGGGCCGUAACUGACGCUGGAGGAGCGGAAAGCAUGGGGAGCGAACAGG
rnacentral:rRNA from 1 species